GCACUAAUGGUCUAGUGGUAGAAUGUGUCGUUGCCAUCGACGCGGCCCCGGUUCGAUUCCGGGUUAGUGCA